AUACGUAGGUGACAAGCGUUAUCCGGAUUUACUGGGCGUAAAGGGCGUGUAGGCGGUCUUGCAAGUCAGAAGUGAAAUUCCUGAGCUCAACUCGGGCGCUGCUUCUGAAACUGCAGGACUUGAGUGCUGGAGGGGCUAGCGGAAUUCCUAGUGGAGCGGUAAAAUGCGCAGAUAGUAGGAAGAACACCGGUGGCGAAGGCGACUAUAUGGACAUUAACUGAGGCUGAGGCGCGAAAGCUGGUGGAGAAAAAAGGAUUAGAUCCCCUGUUAUUCCACGCCGUAAACGAUCAAUACUAGGUGUAGGGGCUAUCGACUCCCUCUCUGCCGCAGUUAACACAAUAAGUAUUCCGCCUGGGGAGGACGGCCGCAAGGUUGAAACUCAAAUGAAUUGACGUGG
rnacentral:rRNA from 1 species